UAAAAUAAUAGAAUUUUUUAAUAAAUUUUUUUUCCCAAACAACUUCUUUUGAUCUUCACCACGCAGGGGCCACAGUGGAGAGGAAAGUUCUCUCCAGGUGCCCUAAAAAGUGUCCAGGGUAGACUUAGGAGAAAAGUAUUCCUCCAGUGUCAGGAGGUUGAGGGGACUAGGGUAAGCAGGGGUCAGGGUCAGCCUGGCCCUGACUGAGGCAUCCCCCAAAGGGUCCUGGGUGGGGCUCCCUGGGGGAGCUUCCAAAGGCUCUGCUGGUGGAAGACGCUCUGCAGACAAAAGCCCCUCUGGUGUCCGCUGUGGGCCCUUAGGAGUGCGGGUCAGCGGCUGCCUGGGGGGCCCCACCCCAGCCUUGGGAUGGGGAAGAGUUAAUGGCCAGAACUGGGGAGGGCAGGGCUGAGCCACCACACACGCCCUCUUGGGGCUGCCACAAGUCAGGACAGCCCAGGGGGCAGGCAAGGAGAGGCGGCCUGCUCCCCGGGGAGGAGAGGAGCUGGGAGGGGAAAGGGAGGCAGCAAGGCCAGGGAAGGUGGUUGGAGGAGCUGUUGCCGCGGGCGCGGCUGCCCGGCCGCGUGGGUGCCGCGGGCGGACACGCCUGGAAGUCGGCCUCGCGGAGCGCGCGCAGGUCUCGGCCCUGGCGCUCCGGGGGGGUGGCGCAGGUCACGUCGGAGCUGG
rnacentral:ncRNA from 2 species